GCAUCCGUGGUGAAAUGGCAGACACGCAAGCUUCAGGUGCUUGUCUCGGCAACGGGGUGAAGGUUCAAGUCCUUUCGGAUGCACCA
rnacentral:tRNA from 1 species